AUUGAACGCUAGCGGGAUGCUUUACACAUGCAAGUCGAACGAGUGGCGGACGGGUGAGUAAUGUCUCGGAACCUGCCUGGUGGAGGGGGAUAACUACUGGAAACGGUAGCUAAUACCGCAUACUAUCGGAUGUGCCCAGAUGGGAUUCGCUAGUAGGUGGGGUAAAGGCUCACCUAGGCAACGAUCCCUAGCUGGUUUGAGAGGACGACCAGCCACACUGGAACUGAGACACGGUCCAGACUCCUACGGGAGGCAGCAGUGGGGAAUAUUGCACAAUGGGGGAAAUCCUGAUGCAGCCAUGCCGCGUGUAUGAAGAAGGCCUUCGGGUUGUAAAGUACUUUCAGCGGGGAGGCGUUACCCGCAGAAGAAGCACCGGCUAACUCCGUGCCAGCCGCCGCGGUAAUUC
rnacentral:rRNA from 1 species